UACGGGGGGUGCAAGCGUUAAUCGGAGUUACUGGGCGUAAAGCGUGCGCAGGCGGUUUGUUAAGUCUGUUGUGAAAUCCCCGAGCUCAACUUGGGAAUUGCAAUGGAUACUGGCAGGCUGGAGUAUGGUAGAGGAAGGUGGAAUUCCCGGUGUAGCAGUGAAAUGCGUAGAGAUCGGGAGGAACACCAGUGGCGAAGGCGGCCUUCUGGACCAAUACUGACGCUCAUGCACGAAAGCGUGGGGAGCAAAAAGG
rnacentral:rRNA from 1 species